rnacentral:rRNA from 1 species
GGUGACCUCCUGGGAAGUACUCGUGUUUCACCUCUU